rnacentral:rRNA from 1 species
UACGUAGGGGGCAAGCGUUGUCCGGAAUCAUUGGGCGUAAAGCGCGCGUAGGCGGCCCGGUAAGUCCGCUGUAAAAGUCAGGGGCUCAACCCUUGAACGCCGGUGGAUACUGCCGGGCUAGAGUCCGGAAGAGGCGAGUGGAAUUCCUGGUGUAGCGGUGGAAUGCGCAGAUAUCAGGAGGAACACCAGUAGCGAAGGCGGCUCGCUGGGACGUAACUGACGCUGAGACGCGAAAGCGUGGGGAGCAAACAGG